AUUCGAAAAAAAAAAAAUACCGUAAAGUCACGCGUGUGGGCACAAACAAUCGAAUCGCAAAAGUAUUUAUGACUACUUUUUGCAUUCGAUUCGUUGCCAUUUUUGUAUUUUUUUUUUUUCGUGUUGUGAAUCAAUUUGGCAUUCAUCAUCAAUAUCAUCUAAUAAUACCGAUAAUUAAUGCGAGGUUUUCAAUUAGUUCGCGUCAAUUGAUUUUUAUCGCCAUUAGAUUAAAUAUAAAAUAAUAAAUAAUUUAGUGAAAAUCGAGAGGGUAUAAAAAGGGGGCUGCUAAUACGUUUUUUUAGUGUGUUUCUACAGGAAGUAUGCCAAGGAAUCAAGGACAAGAGGAUUCAGCCAAGGACCAGGACUCAGUAAUCCAAUCAAGGACCAAAAAAAGGAAGGACCAAAGAUGCGAGGACCAAGGAUGA